rnacentral:RNase_P_RNA from 1 species
GAAGCGGGCGGAGGCGGUCGCUCACCCGUACACCGGGUGGGAGGAAAGUCCGAACUGGGCAGGGCACGGUGGUUGGUAACGCCAACCCGGCGCGAGCCGAGGGAAAGUGCCACAGAAACGACACCGCCUACGUCGGAAACGCUGAAACGUCGAAACGUCAAGACGCUCAGAUGGAUAGUCCUGGGCUUCUGGCCGGGGCCGCCGUUUCAGCGUUUGAGCGUUUCUGCGUUUCAGCGUUUCCGGCCGGUAAGGGUGAAAUGGUGCGGUAAGAGCGCACCGCGCAGCCGGUGACGGUUGCGGCAGGGCAAACCCCACCGCCAGCAAGCCCAAGCAGCGGCGAGAGGCGGCCCGCCUCGCCGGACCGCUUCGGCGGUCGUAGAAGCCGCGGGUAGGGUGCUCGAGCCGGCAGGCGACUGCCGGCCUAGAUGAAUGGCCGCCCGCCGCCGGGUGACCGGUGCCAUGGCCCACGCUUGCGUGGCCAUGCCCUCGCCGCCUGGCGGCGAACAGAAUUCGGCUUACUCACCCGCUUCGCUC